AACCCAAAUUGGACUGGUACCUUAAAUACCAGUAUGUUUGGUUGAGUGUUAUAAAUUAAUAACCGAUGCUUGGUUUUAAUUUAAUUGAGUUUAAUAUUAUUCUUUGAGUAAUAUUAAAAAUUUGAGAAUUCUUAACACGAUUCUUUAAAUUCAAGCUUAAUAAUUUGAGUAUAAUUUAUUAUACUUAGAUGAUGUUACGCUAAUAGUUAAAUUCAAUAGUUAUUAAUAAGUUUUAGCAUUUAUUUGCUCUAACUUUUAUUAUUAUUGGGUUUUAUCAAGCUAUUAAGUUUAAAAUAUCACCGUAAAGUUAUUACGUAAAUAAAAUUAAAUAAGUUUACUUAUUUAUUAAAUUUUAUGCCUCAACUCAAACAAGAUUACCCGCUGAACUUAA
rnacentral:misc_RNA from 1 species